GGGAGAAGAGUAGAAGCCAUAUCUUUGUGGCCAUAUCCAGGGCCUGACUUAGAAAGCAGUCACCGAGUACACUGAGAAAGAGGAUGGUUUCUGGAAGAAGACAAUCCAUGCAGUCCACCGUACCCCCGCUACAACACGACUGUUCACGCAUCUCCUCGCUCCGUUUGCCCUUCAUUCCUCUGACAAAUCCUCGUGGGAGGCUGUGGCGAGGCUCCUCCUCUGGGGGAAUGCACGCGUGGAGAGGAGGCAGCUCCUUCCCCAAACAAACAGAAGAAGAGAAAGCCAAGAGAAAGUUGGUUCGCUUACUAAACACGGACCACACGCUGACUACCGAUGGCUGGCAGUAAAGGAAACUGGCAUGGAGCUCAGGUCCCAGGGAGGGCAAGGAGGAAAACACCCAGGAGCCAGAGAGAAGACAGAGGAGCCAGGGGAGCUGUGGGUGAAGAUGCACACGGUGAAGCGGGCGGCCAGCUGAGGCCUCCCAGGGAAGGCGGCCUGAGCAAAGCUGUGAGGGAAGCUGACGAGCCUUGCAGCCUCGAUUUCUCUGGGGACUGUGUUGACAACAGUGAAGGGAGACAAAGAUGGAAGCAGAAGACCCACUGUGAAGACUUGGUGACAACGGGGUGAGAGGGGACGGCGCUCAGACUUGGGUGGCAGAGGAGGUAAGACGUGGUCAGACUCUGAACAUCUUUUGAGGGAAGAACCAACAAAAUUUGCUGACAGAUUGGAAGGGCAAUGUGAAAAAGAGAGAGGAGUUAAGAAUGACUUCAAGGAUUUUGGACCUGAGCAAAUGGAAAGAGUGAGCUGUCAUGAACGGAGGUGAGAAAGACGACAAGAGAAAGGAUUUGGGGAUGUUUGGUGAGGUAGGGGUCAGGAAGCUGGUUUUUGUCAACAUGUUCAAUGGGAGAUGCCUGAAGACACCCAUGGGAUGUGCUGAGCAGCAGGGGAGAGGCUGGGCUGGAGAGACACUUGGGACCAACAGUGUAUAGAUGGUAUUUGAAGCCAGGAGGCUGCGGGAGGUCACAGAGGAGUGAGGGUGGGGACGGAAAAGAAGAGGGCUGAGGACCGGGCCCUAGGCCUCCUGUGCAAAGUGUUGGGGAAGGUGGAGAGUACUCAGCAAAGGAGACCGAGGUGAAGCCACCAAGAUAGGAGGGGAAUCCAAAGAUCGCUGUCCUGACAGCCAAGUGCAGAAAGAGCUUCCGGGAGGAGGAAGUGAAUGGUGUGUCCAGUGCUCUGUCAGCUCCGUUAAGAUCCAGACUGAGACUUGACCAUCAGAUUUACGGAGAGGGGUCACUGUUGACUUUAACAAGAGCCCUGUGGAGGAAGGGCGGGGGUGCGAGCCUGACCAGAGUGCCUCCAAGAGCAAGAGAGAGGAGAAGAUUGGGAAUUAGGGCAGGUACUUGACUCUGAGGAGCAAAGAAGCAGAGUGACAGACGGAAGAGGAUGUGGGCUCAAGAGACGGGUGUGUGUGUGUGAGAGAGACAUAUCAGCGCGCCUGCAUGCUGAUGAGAAUGAUCAAGUCUUGAGGAGACCUUCAGGAUGCGGGUGAAGAGGAGAGACUUGCUGGAGCCAUGGCCUUGAGAGAAUGAGAGCAGACGGCAUCCCGCGCCCCGUGGAGGAGGGGUGUUUGCUGGGAGCACAGGCACACAGCUGUACAAUGGAAGAGCGGUCCCCGCAGAGGGCAGAGGAGGCGGGGCGGGGCGUUCCCAGAGCCAGCACAGGGUGAGAGACACCCACGUUCCAUAGCAGGGACAUGUGCAGGCAUUUGCUCUCGGCUAUUUACAUACAUUAGCUUCAAAUUCUUGCAACAACCCAAUGAGAUAAAUGCUGUCACUGUGCCCAGUUUAGGUAGAAUACUGAGGCAUAGCAAUGUUCAGAAUUUUGUCCAAAGUCACACAAGUAGCAAUCGGCAUAGUCUGGCUGAUGACCCCUGCUCGCUGUACCAGGAUGAACGGAGGGACGACGGCUCAGCGGCAGCUGGACGAGAAGCUGCAGAGUUUGGUGAACCCAGAGCUGCGAUGAACUGACUGGUUUCUCCUUCUGAGAUGUCUGCUCAUUUGCAGGGCACUUUUCAGUCAUUCCCAACCGAGUCAGGAGGCCAGCAGGCAGAGGCGGGGCCAGGUCAAGCUCCCAGUGUGGCCUUGGUGCAGUCCGGAGUAUCGUUCCUCCCCACGGCCAUACAUUUUCCAUUGAUUCCCACAGGGAUUAUGGUGGCGUUUCCUCUCCUUUCCCUUCAAAGACACUCCUAGGAGCCUGAGCUCCUGGAUUGCAGUCCCCCGUCUUCCUGAGGAAGGGAAGGGAGGGAGGACAUGUUGAGGUGGCGUAGAACUGGUUCUGGCGCAGGCUGGCUGACUCGCUGCAAUCCUCUGGGCCUUGGCUGCGCGAGGCAGACAGGCCAGGCUGGGAUCUUCGUUCAUGGACUCCCGUGUUCCGUCAGCACACGGGUACCGCGUGCAGCUGUGUGCCGGCAUAGCACAGGGCACUGAGAUACGACCACCAGCACGAAGGGUGCGUCCUGCCUUUGUGAGCGUGCAGUCUGUGGGGGCGGGGUGAGGGGAGGCACUGAUAGCCACACGACUCUAAACGGGAUGCACGCUCUGAAGGAAUUUCCCAGCAUGCUGUGAGAGUCCCCUUUCCUGAGCACUUGUGUAAUGUGUGGGAAAUCUGACUGAGGCUUGACCACAAAACAAAACUGUCUUCAUUCAUUGUUCAUUCAUUCAUUCCUUCAAAAAAUUGUAACGAGCACCUGCCUUCUGGAGCAGUGGCUUUGUGUUUUGCAUUCCCCAACGAAGGGAUAAAUCAAGGCUGAUAGGAAGAUAUGACAUGAAAUGGGGCUGGGAACAAGUUUAUUUGGUCAACCAAAUUCAAGAGACAUUCGCUAUGUUUUGCUGUGGGCCCGGCGCUAGGACAUGAGUGUGUCGGGGUCAGGACGUGAUGGUGUCUGCCCUCAGGGAGCUCUUGGGGAACCCUGGGGUCUAAGUCUUGGGCAGAGGGGAGUAAGCUGGACCAGGGUGAGCCCACUGGGGUUUGAAUCUGGGCUUCACCACACAAGAGUAUAAGACCUAAGGGGAAUUUUGAAACAUUCUGUAGCCUCCAUUUUCUCAUCUGUAUAUAAAAAUAAGGACAUUUCUCAAUAUUAUUAUAUACUGUGCUAAGCACUGAGCGUGCACUACUUCAUUGACCCACAUAACAGCCUUAGAGGUAUGUUCUUUCCUUUCUCCAUUUAACUGAUGGGGAAACCGAAGCUCAGAAACGAAAAGAGAUGCUGAUGUCAUAAUGCUGCCAAGGGCUCUCUUUUAUUCUCACAAGAUAUAGGACAGGUGGCUGACAGAGACCCCACAACCCUCAGGCAACGUGGGCUCCAAACUUGUCUGAUCCAUCAUCUCUCUUAGAAACGCUACAAAACAUGUCCUCAUCGAUCUUGUUUAUUUAGAAACAAAGACCUGUCCUACCAUCCGUCUACAUGGCAAAGAUUCACUUCUUAUCUUGGAUAAAAUCAAAUAUACAUAAAGAUUGCAUCUAAACAUAAAUACAGAUACAAUUGCUCCCUGCCCCCCAGUGAGUCACUGAGCACUUGGAGACCAUGCUCCCAGAUCACUUCACGGGGGACAAUGGUGCCCAGAGAGGCCAAGCAACUUGUCCAGUUGCUCAGUGGCAGUAGACCGCUGGGGAGAUUUUGCCCCCAGGUGACACUGGGCAAUAUCUGGAGACAUUUUUCAUUGUCGUGACUGAUGUGUGGGGUGAAAGGGAUGCUGCUGGAACCCAGUAGUAGAAGCCAGGAAUUCUGUUAAGCCAGGAGCCCACAGUGCACAGGACAGACCCCCACAGCAAAGGAUUACCCGGCCGCAAAUGUGAAUAGCACCAAGGCUGAGAAACCCUGGUCUCAGCCCUCUGGGGCCAGGUGGCCUGAGUGUGAAUUUGGGCUCUGUUGCUGGCUGGCAACCGUGAGCACAUUACUUAACCUCUGACCUCCAGUUUUUUCGGCUGAAACGGAGGUUAAUAAUACCAGUGUGGGAAGACGGUGGCAUUAAAUGAGACCCUUUCUAUGCGAAAGGCCAAGGGUUAAUUCUCAUCUUGUUCUCCCACGCCCCUGUCCUCAGUGGUCUCAGCUCUUCCGUGAAGUUGACUUAUUUCCCAGGGCGACUGGGAAGGGUCGGCCGAAAGCCGCCAAGGGCAUUGGAAGCUACACAAGCGCUCUAAAUGCUAAGGAGCCAGGCCAAUCGGUCAGAAAGUUCCAACGCGGGUUUCCAUGUUGCAAGACCUGAGGCAGCGCCCAGGAGAGGGCGCGAGCUGGGGGUGUCUGUGAGCUGCGGGUGCCAGUGGGAGGGGUAAGUUCAGUCUGUCUACAGCAGGGCGGCAGCCUCCCUCCUUCUGUCCCACCUCUUCUCUGAACAUUUCCUGCUCCACUUCUUGGAACUGUCUCUCCCUUCUUUCUUUCCUUUCUUGCCUACUUCCUUCCAGUGAACAGACUUCAGACAUCAUCACACAGAGACAACCCAGUCCUGACCAUCACUGUAGACAGACAUAGAAACAGACCCUUGCAAUCCGUGUCCUGGUACAGAGGGGCGCCAGGAAGGAGGUGGUCCAGCCUAUCUGAGAAUGGAGAGAGGGUUUGGGAAAAAGGUUCUUGGAGGUGUGGCUGGAGCUGUGAGACCCAGCCCCCAUCUCUAACCAGGUUAGAUGCCUCUGCUACCAGGUUGUCAGUAGACUGUAGGCAUCGUGUGGGCAGGGACUUCUAUUUUGUUCCCUGUUGGAGCCUCAGAGCCUGGAAUGGUGCCUAGCAUAUGGUGGGCACUACUACAUAUUUGUGGAAUGAAUAAACAGUGUUUAGAAAUUUGCCAAAUGGGCCUGGGAGAGAAGGGAAGGGCAUUCGGAGCACGGGGAACAGAACUAGCAAAGGCAGGCAAAAGAUGAGAAUUAUGAAAGAUAUAGGAGGAAAUGCUGGGGAUGGUUAGUGAGCUGGGCACGUGGCCCCAGCCCAGGGCUGGUAGCAGAGGCCUUGCAUGUGUGCGGCAAGUCAUUGUAAGUUAUCCGAAGAUGAGAGGAUAUUUUUUUCAGGGAAAGGGUGCAUUAAGAAAGAAAGAGUUGGGAAGGGCAUGACAGCACUCAUUCAGCAACAUUUACUGAGUGCCUGUGAGGUUCCAGGCACUGCGCUAGCCUGGGAGAGAGAUAGCAGGGGCCAGAACCAGUGGGGAUGGGACUCAGGAGCUAAGCUUCGCACAGCACUGAGUGAGCGCCUGCUGCCUGACUGGGGGUGGGCUGGAGGAGGCUGCUGGGGGAAGGGCCAGUCAAGCAGGACUCUGUGGUUUUAUGCCACAGGAACUGACAGGGUGCUGGAGUCAUCGAGGAAAAUAGAGACUACAGAAAGAAACGGGUUGGAGUAGAAAGUGCACUGUGUGACUUUGGGCCAAUUCCUUCUGUGAGCCUUAGUUACUAUUUUUAACAUUAUCAUGAUUACAAACCAGGCAUAGGAGCUUUAUGUACCCAUUUCAUUUAAUCCUUAUAACAUUUCUGCAAAGGAGAUAUUCUCUCCCCCAUUUUACAAAUGGAGAAAUUGAGGCACAGAACUUUAAAUGAUUUCCCAAGGUCAUAGAGCUAGUAAGAUGCUGGGAGAAGCAACAGCGGCAUUGAAGGAUGUCAGACUCCCAAUCCAUUCCUUUCUCCCUCCACCCAGCUCCAAGAAGCUCACCUCAGACACUGGCCUCCAGGCCACCAGCUUAAUCUUGAGAGGUCCAAACUGCUGCUGGAGCCAUCCGGGCUCCCCGGGUCUGCGCUGGGGCAGCGGGUCCGAGCCCCCUGCGGCUAGAAGCUGCGCUCUUCUCAGGACCAUUCCCCACAGACCAUUCCCUCGGUGGAGCCUGGAAAGAAGGUUAAAGGCGACUUCUGCACGUCAGUCAAGAGGCUCCUUCUUGCGAGUGUGACAUCUUAGCCUGAGCGAGGCCGUGCCCAUCUCUAACACAGGGCGGCUGCCAGCGCGUCUCGGGAGGAGCCGGGAAAGACUGCAGGCACCUGCAUGGGGCUUCUCGCGUGGCGAGUGCUCGAUCCACGGAGGAGACACUGGAGGGGUGGCCGGGCCCACAGGCCCCCGGGAGGCAGUUUGCUCUCCUUCAAACCCCAGUUCAUCACAGCUCACACCAGCUGUGACAUGUGGGGCAGGUCUUAAUCUCUUAGUGCCUUGGUUUCUUGAUCUGUAAAACUGGUGUAAUAACAGAAUCUACUCUGUAGGGUAGUAGCAGAGAUGAAAGGAAUGGAGAUGAGAGAUGCCUGAUGCACUCAGAACACCGCCUCCUACCUCCCCAGUGGAACGGCCCAAGGACUCCUGCCCAUGCCUUUCUCAGAAACCAGCCCCCCCACAAAGGAGGAGGAGUCAUUGCGAGCAGGCUCCAACGAAGAGGAAGGGAAUAGUGGCUUUGAUUCAUUCUUUUCUCCAACGUUUUUUUAUUGAGCAUUUAAUUUGCAGCAUGUCAAACACUUAGGUGCCAGGGAGGCUCCACAAGCAAGACGGCACCACACCCCAAGGAACUCGAGGUGGAAAACGAGACCGGGGGAUAAGGAACCGAGAAGCCCGGCGUGUUGGGUCACAGCAGGGGAGAGUCAGGACUUCUGGUUGGGAAUGGCAUUUGCAAAGAUACCGAAUGUUCACGCUUUGCCUUGCACAGCUAUUUGCAUUCAGUAAGAGGAAAUUGUGGGUUUUAUUACCAAAAUGGUUGAUUAUGAAAAUGAUGAAGAUAAUGAUGUCCUUGGAAAUGACUCCAGCAUGUGAAGGUGGAGGAGGGGAGAACGAUGGGAGAGGAGGCUGGGAGUGGGGCAAGCAGAGUCUGGGUCCAAAAGGUCCCAGUGAGCCAGACAGGGAGUUUAAAUUUCAUCCUGGAAGCAGCAAGGCCCCUGGGAAGAAUUUCAAGCAGGAGAGGUGGGUGGCCAGCUCUGUUUUAACGAGAUCAUACCGGAGGCUGCGUUGAGGCUGGGUUGGAGUGAGGUUGACUGGAGUCUGGGAACAUUAGAAAGGUAACUGGCAGCUGGCCUCACUGGGGGGCAGGGGAAAGGGGGCACCACCUCACCUGGACUUGAGAUGAGCUGUGUCACAUCCAGGCCUCAAUUCUAUCAACUUGAGCUUAGUGUAUAUGAAUCCAAAAGGGAAUAAUGUCCACUGACUUCCCAGCUGUCUCCAGGAAUGAAGAUUGGCAACCUGGUCCCUCUCUUUUCUGAGGCCCUGGGCAGCCAGAGGGCCAGGGUCAUGGGCUUGGCUGUGGUAGGCAGAAUAAUGGCCCCCCCCAAAUACGUCAAGGUCCUAAUCCCCAGAAUGUGUGAGUAUGUCACUUUACAUGAUAAAAAAGACUUAGCAGAUGUGAUUAAGAUAAGGGUCUUGAGAUGGGGAGAUUAUCUUGGAUCAUCCCAGGUGAGAGGAUGCUGCACUGCUGGCUUUGAAGACGGAGGAAGCGGCCUUGAGCCUGGGCACGUAGGCACCUCUAGAAAGUAGAAAAGGAGCACAAACAGAGGCACUCUCAACAAGAAUAUACACCUAUGUGCUGGGGGGCUUUGGGAAGGGAAGAAAAAAUGAAAGUGGAAAAGGCAAAGAAUGGGACCCUCCCCUGCAGCCUCCAGAAGGGCCGGCUCUGUCUGUCGGCAUGACUUCAGCCCAGUGCCGCCGGCUCGGGACUUCCCACCUCCAGCAGCAGCACAAGACAGCAUGCGGCUUUACGCCACCAAGUUUGAGCUCAUCUUAGGAAUUGAAAGGAGGGUGUUCUUUUUCUUCCCUUAGUUCCUGCCCAGGGCCAGGACUAGCUGGAGGGGGACCAUCCAGGAAAGCUCCAAACCGUGUUUGUCCUGGAGGCUGAGGAGACGCCAACGGGUGAGAGAGGGAGGAGAGCGCACAGAUGCAGUGCAGACGCUGCCCUGGAGAGAACGCUGCUCCGGGCCAGGCUCGUGCUGGGCGCUCUCAUGGACUGCCUCACUCUCCUCUCAAUAACCAGGGGGAAACUGAGGCACACAGAUUUUAAGUAACUUGCCUGAGGCCGCACAGCUAUAAGCGGCAGAGCAGAGACCUGCCCCCGUGUGCCGCUGGAGCCCACGCUCUUUACCUUGCACUGUAUCCUAGGAGGAGCCGGGGGUGGGGGAGGCACUGUGGGGCGUUCCUCGAGUGGGAACCUGUGUCACCAGCCGCCCAAACUUCUGCUUGCCCGAGGUGUCUUGUCUCUCCCCGUUUCAGGAUAGCGGCGAAGGAAGGGGAAUUCCCUCUCUGUCUCUCUCUGUCUGUAUAACCCUUGACCCCUCUGCUGGAGCUUUCCCUGGAAAGGAUGUGACCCAAGAUGAGAUAUCAGGAAAGCAGGUGUGUCUGGCCGUGUUUGACCCUCAGCAGUUCUGUGGCCUUGACUUCAUCCUGAGCUAUCAGAGUGGGCAGGAGUAUAUUUCAGACGGGGAAACUGAGACCCAGAGUAGGAAUUGUCUUGCCCAGAAUGGUUUCUGCAAGGGGCAGUUUUCCACCCUCAGGAGGCCUCUUUGUCAUGGACUAUGGAGGUGGCAAAAGAGAUACAAUGCGUGUCUAUAACCAGGCUCUGCAGUGGCAUCUGAUGCGGCUUUUCUGGUCUGCCUCAGUCACAGAUUAUGAUAAAAAUUCCUGGUUCAGCCACUUAACUGGCUGAGUGACCCUGGGCAAGUUAUCCAACCCCUCUGUGCCUCAGUUUCAUCACCUAGAAAAUGGGGAUUACCUAUGUAAAGUGUUUCCUGCUCUGGUGGAUGAGGCGGGGGCAAAGAGACAAUGAUGCCAGUACCCAACACUUCCAAAACAGGGAGCGCUGGAUGGGCUCGGACCUGACGCCGAACCCCUUUCUGUUCUUUUUCUCCUCUCAGUUCUUCUCCCCAGAGUUUUCACAGGAAUUGAGAAUCGUCAGAGAGAGUUUGGUCACAUCCGGUUCUACCUGCCCCUGACAGGGGGAGCGGUGAGCCUUGGGAGCAUCUGGGAGGCCAGGGCUGCACACUCAGGGCUGCCAGCUCAGGGGGAGGUCCGGGUUUGCUGUGGGGGGGCAGCCAAUGCGGGGAGGAGCCAAGGGAAGCCCCUCCCCCGGGAGGUGUGGGCCCAGCCUUGCUCCUGUCCCGCUCUGGCUUCACUCUCUUGGGCUACAGAGACAUCCAUAAAUGAUGUGCCCUCUCUUAAUGACUGCAGCCACCAUGUGCAGGGGCUUUGACAGGGUUCACUUGGUGAGCCCAACAGGCCACUGAGGCAGUAAUGCCUAGCCCAUUUCAACAGCGGAAGAAGCAGGAGCCCACACACUCUGGCCCGCAGGCUCCAGAGGUCCUGCUCGGUCUAGCACUGCAUCCCUCCAUGCUCCCUCACUCAUCCCACUCCCGCCCCCUCCUGCGGGGCCGCCUCCGUGCUGGCCCCAGACAGACCCUGUGCUGAGGUCCCCCACCCUCGCACGUGUCCCCUACCCCUGUGUCACCUCUCUGAGCCCUUUCUUUAAGGUCAGUUUGAAGCUCCCUGCUUCCCUUCCUCCCUUCCACAAACCUUCCGAACAACUUCUGUCUCCCUCCUCGACAAAACCUCGAAUAGACCCCUGCACCCCCCGAGUUGUCAGAAGGGACAGCGUGGCCAGGAAGGGAUGGCACUUGUUGACGCUUGCCACAUGCUGCCUACUGUGCAAAACAGUUUACAUGUAUCACUCCAUUUGAUUCUCUUGGGAGGCAGGUGCUAUCAUUGUCCCAUUUUACAGAUGAGGAAACCGAGGCUUAAAAAGUUUAGGCUACCCACCCAAGAUCACAGAGGCAGGAAAUGGAAAAAUGUGGACCCAAACUCAGAUCCGUCUGAGCCUAAAGCUUGUGCUCUUUACCGCACAAUUUGGCCUCCUGCUCUCUAGGCGCCCCUCGCCAGGCUGGCCCUAUCUCCCUUCUAGGUCUCAUCUCCAUGGGCCCUCCUGUCAUUCACUCCAAUUGACUCCCCUUGCAUUUUCGUUCCUCUGGGCCUUUGUGCAUGCUAUUCCUUCUACCUGGAACACCUUUCCCUUUCUUUUGUGCCAUCAAAAGCCUUCCCAUGCAGGGAGCCCUUUCUCUGGGAGUCCCUCCUGGAGGCCCUGGCGGCUCCCACCUCCGACUGUGGAGAGAGCCACUUCCUUCCUGCUGGCCCUUGCAGCGUGCUUCUCUAUGUGACUGCAGCGUGCUGAGUCUGUGCUGGUGUCCAACUGCCACACAUUAACUGAGCACCCAUUUCGUGCCUGGCACUGGGGGCUCUUGGGACAUGGGGGUGAGCCAGAUAGGUGUGUCUCAGCUGUUGCAGCGUUUGCAGCCUUGGGGUGAGGAACAGGCCCAUGCUCAGGACCACACGGCGGCCUGAGUCUUGUGGUGGGGCAGGAUAAGGGGCUUCAAGUGCUCCCAAGAGGAGCACCUAUCCAGGACCAGGAUGGGCAGCAGGGCUCCAUGGAGCAAGUGGUAGUAAACCAAGGUGGAGAGAGUCAAGCCAGGAGGGGGUGAAGGGGGAAAGCAAUGUCUCAGGCAAAGGGAACAGCCUGUGCAAAGGCCCAGGGGUGAUAGAAAGCUAGGUGAGAUCAGAAUGCCACAGAGAUUGGCAUGGCCAGAAAAUAGAGCAUGCAAGGCAAGUGUUGCAAGAACACUCUGGAGAGGCGAGCUCCGACUCUGGCCAAAAACGUUUGCCAGAAUCUUGCCUCUCUCUCCCACUCAUCUGUGGGCUCAGGUGGCUUAGAGGACAGUGUGGCAUGGGAGUUAACAGCCUGGCCUUGCAGCCAGCAAACCCAGGUGUGGCUUGAGUGACUUCAGACAGCUGCUUACCUGUUCUGGGUCCCACUCUCAUCUUUUAAAUGGGAAUCAUCAUACCACCCCCUCCGAGGGCUUGGAGAGGACUGUGUAACGGAAGGGAUGAGCACAGUCUCUGGCCCACGGGAGCAGCUGAAUGCAGGGCUGCUGCAGCGAUGGCAAGAACACAUGGGAACGUGUUAGACACCAUGUUGCUGUUGUCACCAGUAUUCUUACCAUUAUUUCUGUUGUUGGAUCUGAGUCGUCUCUGCCUCUCUUAUGGAUGGCACCAAGGGCUCUGUUGCCUACCCAGCUCUGGGUCCUGGGGAAGGAGCCGGCAAGAUGGCGAGCGCCAGGAUCAUAGAACAACCCCUUUGCCCUCCGCAGCUGUGCGCGGGCCAGGGAAUGAGAGGUCUGUAGCCCUGUGGACUAGUCUGGCAGGGGCUCCGGACACAGAAUCCGGAUGCUAUGUGAACACCCCAGCCUGGCUGGGAAAGCUGCCCACCAGCCCGUCCCCCUCUGCCCUUAUAUGGCCUUCCCUUUCUUGGGGAUGAGUUGAACCUCCUCAGGGUUGGAUGUUCUCGUCCCCCUGCAGGACGCCAGGACGCCUGCUGGGGUGGUGAUUCUUUUCUUGUGGGCAUUCCCAUCUGAUCAAUUUUCUGCCCUCUCUGGCUGCUCUGAGCUGAGGGCUGCCCCCUAAGAACGCAUCACCCAGACCCCCUUGGGCUCUCAAUUCUGGCCGGAUCUGGCCACAGGGAAGCUGCAGCAGGAGAGAGGAGUGUACGGGGAGAGAGGUCAGGCAUCCAUCCCUCUCUCCGUCUGCUCCUUCUUCCACUGUCCUGACAUUGGCUGUGACCAGGACAGCUGUAGCUCCCUGGCUGCUCCUCCUUGGCUCCGGCUCUCAGGCCCCCCAGAGCACCUUCCUUCUCUUCUGCUUGAUCGCUAAGAGGGGUGUGGGCUUCCCGCUGCUCUAGGCCCGGGGGGGCUGCCUUGACCUCUCUUGCUGGUUUCCUUGACCUGCCCCCGCCUCUGAGCACAGCCCUGCUCCGCGCUGUUGCUGUCGCUGUCGCAGGCUGCCUGUCUCCCGCUGACUCCCAUCAGUGUUCCGCGGAGGCUGUCCAGGCUCCUCCAAGAGACCCCGCCCAGCCAGGACCAGGGUGCAGGGCUGCCCCUCUUCUCCUCUCCUGUAACCUGGGUGCCUCCUAAGAGGGCAGGCCAGGGUCCCACAUGGGCACUCGUCCUGGAGGGGUUGGAGCUGCCUGUGGGACUGCAGAGGAAGCCAGGAUUCCAUCACAGAGGGCCUCAGGGGCCAUGGGGGGAGGAUUUGGGGUUUUAAGAACAACAAGCUGUGGCAGAUUUUUGGGAUGGGGAUUGCCAUCCUCUGGUUUACAAAUGUAGAGGAUUUAUCUGCUGAGAGGUUCUAGACGGUCUGUGUAGACCCAGGGAAGCUAUCUGGGGUGCUGGGGCAGUAGUUGCCCUGUGACAUUAUGGGGCUCUGCCACCAUUAGAGACAUCUGCCACCUCCACUGUGAAGCCUCAGCUGGUCACCCACGAAGGGUUGAAGGCUUCCUUCCUGUGUGUUCACAAAACUUUGUCACAGCAGCUAUCACAGUCGCCCCUCCUCCUGUCCGCAGCGCGCCUCUGCCUCAGCGCCCGCUCACUCCCGGGUCCCAGCACGCGCAGGGCCUGCACACAGAGGGUGCGGUAGGGCUGGCGCUUCGCUGAACUGGUUGGGACUGUCUACCUUCAGUGCAAAUGCCUUUGAAGGUGCCUCCUGUUACAACAUGAGUAACUGUUAAGGGAUGCCCAGCGUCAGAUCAGCUUGCGCCGCCUUGUCAGGCAAGGAGAGACAGUGGACAUUGGCUGCGUGCUUCCCCACGCCGCCUCGUCCAGUCCACUUGCCAGCCCUGGGAACAGGCAGUCCUGCCCCGUUUCACAGAGGGGAAACGGAGGCUCAGAAGAGUGGUCUAACUUGGAUCAGGUCGCCCAGCUUGUGAGUGACAGAGCCUGGGUGCCAACCAGGUCUCUCUGUCUCCUAAAGCUGUCAGCGGAGCCAAACGCCGCCAGGAGAACUGGACCAGCCUGCUCAGGAAACUGGCCUGGAAAGAAGGAGUCCAUUGUUUACCAGCUUGUUACUGUGGCUCUGGGCGCAUUAUGGAUCCAAGCAGGUGACACGGAGCAUGGAGCUGCAGCCAAGAGAAGGUUUCAGAAAGACGUGGUCCCACCGUAGCAGUGAGCAGGCAGGAGAGUCAUCGCCCUCCCGGAAACCAAGCCCGCUUUGGAUUGUAGAGAACAGACCGCACAUCUGACACGCGAGUUUCCCAAUUCCUCCCGAUUUGUAGGCUGAGUUUGUAAAACUCUAAAUAUUUGUCUGACUUUUAAGACUGUUUUCUUCAAGUCUCAGUCGGAGACUCUGGAGGGAAACGCCUAGAGCCCCGGGCCGGCGCUGGGCUGGGAGCUGGUGCCCGGAAGUCGCUCCUGCUUCCUGGGUUUGGUGAGCACCUCCUCAUCAGAUUGCCCUGGAAACCUCCACGAGCUGCCAUCAGACAGAUGGGUCUCCUUCUGCAUGGGGAGGGCUGAGGCCCAGGACCUCCAGCACAUGUCCCAUCCUCUUUGCUGGACCAUUCUGCUGCUCGUGGCAUGACCCUGGCACAGUGGCCACGUGGGAUUAAUUCCAAACCUCUGACCUGGCUUUGCGCAUGCCGUUCCUUCUUCUUAGACUCUCCUUCCCUCACCUCCUCUGAACUCAGGGCUCUCCAACUUCAUCCUCAGGACUCAGUGUGGUUCCUCCUCUGGGACGAGGCUCUAAGGGGGAAGUGGCUGUCGGCUCUGUGCUCCUUUCUAGCAUCAGCCCCUUUCUUGUCAUCUUUGCGUGUCCCUGUUUCUCAUCUGGGAGCUCCUUCAGAGCAGGGCGUUGUUGUUCAUUUAAAGAUCUUUAGGCCCUGACAUAGGGCCCAGUCUGCGGCUGGUACUCAGUGAAAGAAGGACUUCAAGAGGAGUCCUGAAUUUUAAACUUUUUGCUCAAAUGAACAGGGCACUCGGGCCUUCACAGAAAGAGUGGUAGGAUGAGGGGUGCGUGGACUGCUGUUUAGGAGACCCCUCGGGCCGAUCUGGGUCAGCCCCCAUUAUUCUGCACCUGAGAAAGUGGGAGCUUAGUGACAUCCCAGCUGCAUGUGUUGCUGGCAGAGCUGAGGUCUCCCCACUCUCAGUCCAGUGCCCAAUCUGUGAUCUCAGGAUGUCCCUCGUCCUCAUGAGAAUGAGCUGCAGCAAAGACAUGGCUGGUGGCGUGGAGAAAGGCAUCCAGGGACAAGAUACUGGGAGUGACAAAAGUCCCUGGAGUGUGGCUUGCCAUCUUGGCAGCAGGCUGCCUGGCAGACUGGAGGAUGCUAAUGAGAAGAAAGCCUCGGGAGUGCCAUGGCAGGAGCUCUGGGUUGCAGACUUGGGCUUCUCAGGCCAGACCCGCUGGCCCGAGUCAGCUCAGGAACCAGGGAAAAGUGCCACAGAGCCGUCCCCAAACCAAAGGCUUCAGGCUCCUUGCAGUUGGGCAUCUGGCCAGAUGUUAAGAAAAGGGGACAUUGCAAAGAACUCUAGCAGGAGGAAGUGGUUUGAGUUUCCUGCUUGAAGGAGGAUGCUUCAUUUAAAUAGAAUUCGGUAGAAUUAAGUAGAAGGGGGAAGUCUCUCGAGCCCUCUGCUUGGACCUGGAAGUCUGCUUCUUGCAGAGAAAGAGGAUUCAGAAAUGGCUUCCCAGGGAACCAGAUUUUACCCCAAAUUCUCAAUCGGGGUGGGGAUGGAUGUAACAGAAAACGUUUCCAACUACUGAGCCCCUGUUCUGUGUUGGGUACUUCUCUCAGUUAGUGCUUCUCCCCAAAUCCUCGUGGAAACUCAGGUUCCCAGAGGGGAAGUGAUUUGCCGCAGAAGACACAGCAAGGCAGGCUGGCACUCGGACCCACUCCCGGCUGACCGCCUCGCCACGUCCGCUCCCAAAGCCGGCUGGCCUCCCUGGGCCUGCGGGCCUCAGUCUGAGUGAGCUUCUCUCGUCUGUGAGCUGACAGUCACCAGGCCAGGCCCCUCCCUGCUUUGCAAAGCUCAGUUUUGCACAGCUAACCUCUUCAGUAGACCUCAGGGAGGUUCGACCGUGAGGGCCUGAGGACAGGGUCUGGGGUGCAUCACCUCUGUCUUCCCCGCACUGGCUCAAGGGCCUGGACCCAGUAGACGCACGGAAACAAUGGUCCCCGUGCCAGGAUCUUCUGUGUGGUAGCUCACUUCAUUCCCACACUGAGCCGGGGCCUGGGUUUGUCAUGCUCAUGUCUGAGAUGGGAAAACAGACUCAGGAAGAGAAGUAAUUUUCUCAGGAUAUGUUGCUUGAUUGUCUUUUAAAAAUAAAGGUAUUCCCUGAGUAUGGUAUAAGUAAGAUGUUUUAGGACACUUCUCUGCAAGAAGUAGCAUAUUUACUUGUAUUUCUAAAUCAAAUAAAUUUGGCUUGCCACGCCCACCUGCAUUUGGCAGGAAAUUCCGUCUCAGCGUGUGGGGUGGAGGUCGCCCCGAAUGCGGGAGUUUAUAGGGGAUGGUGUUUAGACAAGAGUCUGCCUCUGGCCUUCAGCUCCAAGACGUUCCAAUCACAGGGCAAUGCUAAUCAAGCGACGCUUUGGAGCCACUUCCCAGAGUGGCCUGGGAACGCCCCCGCAGGUCAGGUGCUGUUCGAAGAGUUGGCACGGUGUGAGAUUUUUAACCUCAGUGGGUGACGAUGGCCUCCUUCUUCCGCCCUCCCCCCAUCACACAUCCUCUGUUGGGUAAGUUGUAUUGGCCGUGGGCGUUUUAUAUUUGUAAUGUUCUUUUCUUAAAGAAAGCUCCUCAAAAUGCAUAUAUUCAGGUCCCACAAAACCUAGAUGUGCUCCUGCCUGCUUCGUUCACGGUGGCAGUCCCUCCACACGUGCCCUGAGCUGCCUUCCUGGUGGCCCUGGAGCCGUGGCUCUUCCUGUGAAAUCUUCGGCUUUUCCUCUUACCCUUUCAGAGGUUCCACCUUCCUGGAUGGGGGUGCUAUGUGGAAAUGGGAUACUGGUCACCCAUUUUGGAAACAGCAGCUUCCACAGUUUAUUUUGCCAUCUUGGAGAAGCCUUGCCGAGGUUAGGCCAUUCCCCAUUUUCAAGCACAGAGGAAAGGGUACAGAGGCCUUUGCACACACAAUGUCACAGUCAAGGUCAGAAUGUCACAAAGUCACAGGGUCACAGUUAAGGUCACAGUGCCACCAUCAAGGUCACAGGGUCACAGUCAAGGUCAGAGGGAAGGCCAGCAGUGAGACAGCAGCAGGUUGGAUGUGGCUGUCUUCAUUCUCUUAGAUGAAGUUCAAGGCAAAGGUCUCUGACAGUCCUUGGAAGAGAAUGUCCAGCUUGUUUUCCUGCCCAGAGCCUAGUAAACAGGACAACUGGAAUCUGUGGUGGCCUCAGGACACAUGGACUGCAGCCUGGCUGGCCGUGGGAGAGAAGGCAGUGUGGAAAUGGCUGACAUUAGGACCCACCCUGGCCUCUGCACUUGAUCCCCAAGGAAAUUCCUCUUCUGGGACAACCUGUCUCAGGCACUUGGAAUCUGUAUCUUGGGUCAGAAAAUAUGCACAGCCUUUGACCCAACGAUUCUACUUCUAGGAACGCAAUAAGAAGGAUAGUUGCUGAUGUGUGCAAAGAUAUAUGUCCAAGGGUGUUCAACGUAGUGUUGUUUGUAAUAGAGAAAAAGUGGAAGCAACUCAAAUAUCCAGCAAUGGUGGUAAGUCAGGAAACUUGUGUUGCUACAGUGCAUCUAUAUGAUGGAAAAAUAUUAGCCAUUAAUAAUCAUGUGGUAAAGGAAUGUGUAUUGAUAUGGAAUUUUCAGAAUAUUUUGCCAAAUGAAAAAAGGCUAUCAAACAGCAUGUACUGCCUGUUCUUACUUAAUCAUAUAAUUACAUAUUACGCUGAGGUUAACUGAACACUUACUGGAUGCCAGGCAUGGCUCUAAGCAUUUAAAAUACAGUCAUACAUUUCAUCGUGCAACGUCUAUGAAGAAGAUAUUUUUAUUAUCUAUAUAUUACACAUAAGGCACCUGAGACACAGAGCAUUUAAGUAAUUCGCCCAAGGUCACACAGUAGUAAGUGGCAGAACCUGAAUGUGACUAAGGCAGCUGGGGUCCGGAGCCAUGCCUACACCACUAAGCUGGCCCUGCUCUCUCUUCCUGUGUGUGUGCAUGUUUGUAUAGUUUUCUCUCUCUUUCUCAGAGGCUUUACACCAAAAUGUUAGCUGUGUCUUCAGUCAUCCCUUCCUCAAACAAGAUACAGCAGAUGUUUCCAUGAUGCGAGGGGAUGCUGCAGCUACUGCGGCACUGGGGGACAUCUGCGCCUUGAGCACAGAGACCACGCCACGUGCCUGUGUGGACUCCACAUGGGCACGUCCCCAAUUCACCAAUUCAGCAAACAGUGACUAGGCACCCAUUCUGUGCAGGCCUUGUUCUAGGUUUUGAGGAUUCAAAAGUGAACAGGGAAGGCACACAGGACAAUUCUCCCAUAAAACUGACAUCCCAGUGGGGAGGCAGAGAGGUGACCAGUAAGUAAACAGCCAAGAAAAACACCAGCUGGAGAUCAGUGUUGUUGGGAUCUGAAAUUAGAAGAGUACGAGAGAGUGGGACCACAGCUACAGGGGUUAAAUGGCCAGGAAAGGGGACUUUUUAGAGGUGGCAUCUCAGCUGAGACUUGAAUGACCAGAAGAAACAAGAUAUUUGUCUAUAUCCGUAAUGUAUCUAUGUCUAUCUCUAUCUACCUAUCUACCUACCUACCUAUCUAUCAUCUAUCUGUCCAUCACCUAUCUAAUCUGAGAGAGAGAGAUAAAUCAAACCCAGUAAAAUGUUAACAUUUGGGGAAUCUGGGUGAAGUGUACAUUAAAAUAUUUUUGUAUAAUUGUUGUGACAUUUCUGUAAGUCAAAAUUAUUUUAAAAUAAAGAGUUG
ensembl:lncRNA